rnacentral:lncRNA from 1 species
UGUGGCCAGGGAGCUGCAGGCAAGGGACUAAGGGGAGGGGGGCUCAGUGCCAGCUGCUUAAAAAUGCCCCUGUGGCAGCGAGGGGCACCAGAGGCUGGGUCUAAUUAGUUGAGAAGCAGUGACACCCCCAACCACUCCCCAAACAGGCUGGCUCCCAUCUCCAGGCCCCAAGGAGCCACACCUGGACCAGACCCCAGGAAAGGCAAGGGCACUAGCUAGUGGGAGCCACCCCUGCUACGCUGAUGCUGGAGAAGCAAGAACUCUGGAGAAGCAGCCUCCUGGGACCAGAGGGGGGCCAGCAGCAGGCAGCUCGGCUACAGAACUCUCACCCACGCCUCUCCAAGCCUCCCGACAGAAGACAGAGGUCCCCCACAGCCCAGAGACAUUUCCUGAAGACAUGGGGACCACAGAGGCAGAAACAGCCCAUCCACCCAGGAGCUGCCCCCCACGCUGCCGGGAGCCAGCACCCAGAGCCGCCAGAUAAAACUGAGGCCACCUGGUUCAACAUUGCCUUUCACAGAAGGGGAAACAGCCACAGAAAGAAGGGCCUGGUAAGAAGUGGAACCUGGGACCCCCAAGCGGUGUCUCUCAUCCUGACUGGGGAUCCAGAGUAGGAGGGAGCCUUUGGUGGGACACAAAGGAACAGAACGAAGCACCAACAGCAAGGGGCAAGCAGAUUCAAGGGCCACAGAGGAGAUGGAGGCAAACACCUUCCCCUGGUCAGAGGCUGAGCCUCAGCCCUUCUCCCUGCACCAGUUUCUCCUUCAGAAGCAUGGGACUACCUCCCAUCUAGUUCUCGUUUCUAAACCCAGGGGAGAUGCUAUCUUUGCUGCAAUAAUCUUAGCCUACAUCUUGGAAUGGAAAUGGCCUUGGUGGAAAUGGUCUUCAACUCCCCUGGUCCAAGCUCAGGCCCUGUGACACUGGAACAAUCCCCUUCCUGGUCCUCCAUGUAGGAGCAAUAACAUUCCCUUGCCGGCGGCACCAGCCGUUCUGAUGAUUAAAUGGUAUCAGACGCUGUUUCCCAAACUCAGUCAUUCAGAUGCCCCCUAUUUUAUUUCUUCCAUGUCUGCAAAUGACUAUAAUAUUUUUAAAUGUAAGAUGAGUCCUUUUUAAUACAAAUAGAAAUAGCUACUGUAAAUAGAAAACUAACACUGUGCCUAAUUAGGAAAUAAAGGUAACCAUAAAUACAGUAAAAA